AUUGAACGCUGGCGGCAGGCCUAACACAUGCAAGUCGAGCGGAUGAAGGGAGCUUGCUCCUGGCUUCAGCGGCGGACGGGUGAGUAAUGCCUAGGAAUCUGCCUGGUAGUGGGGGAUAACGUCCGGAAACGGGCGCUAAUACCGCAUACGUCCUGAGGGAGAAAGUGGGGGAUCUUCGGACCUCACGCUCUCAGAUGAGCCUAGGUCGGAUUAGCCAGCUGGUGGGGUAAAGGCCUACCAAGGCGACGAUCCGUAACUGGUCUGAGAGGAUGAGCAGUCACACUGGAACUGAGACUCGGUCCCGACUCCUACGGCAGGCAGCAGUGGGGAAUAUGGGACAAUGGGCGAAAGCCUGAUCCAGCCAUGCCGCGUGUGGGAAGAAGGUCUUCGGAUUGUAAAGGACUCUAAGGCGGGAGGAAGGGCAGUAAGUUAAUACCUUGCUGUUGGGACGUUACCUACAGAAUAAGCACCGGCUAACUUCGUG
rnacentral:rRNA from 1 species